rnacentral:rRNA from 1 species
GNAUUUAUUGGGCGUAAAGCGAGCGCAGGCGGUUAGAUAAGUCUGAAGUUAAAGGCUGUGGCUUAACCAUAGUACGCUUUGGAAACUGUUUAACUNGAGUGCAGAAGGGGAGAGUGGAAUUCCAUGUGUAGCGGUGAAAUGCGUAGAUAUAUGGAGGAACACCGGUGGCGAAAGCGGCUCUCUGGUCUGUAACUGACGCUGAGGCUCGAAAGCGUGGGGAGCGAACAGGAUUAGAUACCCUGGUAGUCCACGCCGUAAACGAUGAGUGCUAGGUGUUAGGCCCUUCCGGGGCUUAGUGCCGCAGCUAACGCAUUAAGCACUCCGCCUGGGGAGUACGACCGCAAGGUUGAAACUCAAAGGAAUUGACGGGGGCCCGCACAAGCGGUGGAGCAUGUGGUUUAAUUCGAAGCAACGCGAAGAACCUUACCAGGUCUUGACAUCCCGAUGCCCGCUCUAGAGAUAGAGUUUUACUUCGGUACAUCGGUGUCAGGUGGUGCAUGGUUGUCGUCAGCUCGUGUCGUGAGAUGUUGGGUUAAGUCCCGCAACGAGCGCAACCCUUAUUGUUAGUUGCCAUCAUUCAGUUGGGCACUCUAGCGAGACUGCCGGUAAUAAACCGGAGGAAGGUGGGGAUGACGUCAAAUCAUCAUGCCCCUUAUGACCUGGGCUACACACGUGCUACAAUGGCUGGUACAACGAGUCGCAAGUCGGUGACGGCAAGCUAAUCUCUUAAAGCCAGUCUCAGUUCGGAUUGUAGGCUGCAACUCGCCUACAUGAAGUCGGAAUCGCUAGUAAUCGCGGAUCAGCACGCCGCGGUGAAUACGUUCCCGGGCCUUGUACACACCGCCCGUCACACCACGAGA